rnacentral:rRNA from 1 species
AACGAACGCUGGCGGCAGGCUUAACACAUGCAAGUCGAACGGAUCCUUCGGGAUUAGUGGCAGAAGGGUGAGUAACGCGUGGGAACGUACCCUUUGCUACGGAAUAACUCAGGGAAACUUGAGCUAAUACCGUAUGUGCCCUACGGGGGAAAGAUUUAUCGGCAAAGGAUCGGCCCGCGUUGGAUUAGCUAGUUGGUGGGGUAAUGGCCUACCAAGGCGACGAUCCAUAGCUGGUCUGAGAGGAUGAUCAGCCACACUGGGACUGAGACACGGCCCAGACUCCUACGGGAGGCAGCAGUGGGGAAUAUUGGACAAUGGGCGCAAGCCUGAUCCAGCCAUGCCGCGUGAGUGAUGAAGGUCUUAGGAUUGUAAAGCUCUUUCACCGGUGAAGGUAAUGACGGUAGCCGGAGAAGAAGCCCCGGCUAACUUCGUG